ACCUACUGCCACACCACCCUGAAAGAGCCUGAUCUUAUCUCAUUUUGGAAGCUAAGUAGGGCCGGGACUGGUUAGUACCUGGAUGGGAGACUGCCUGGGAAUACCAGGUGUCAUAGGCU
rnacentral:rRNA from 1 species